rnacentral:snoRNA from 1 species
AACCCAUGGUGAGGGCUCCUUCUCAAAAGAUCAUUGUAUCUCUCCCAUGCAUCAUAGAGUGUUUCUAGAUCCAUCCGCACAAAAGAAGAGAUGUUAGUCCUCAACUU